GGCCGGGUAGCUCAGUCGGUAGAGCAGAGGACUGAAAAUCCUUGUGUCGGCGGUUCGAUUCCGUCCCCGGCCACCA
rnacentral:tRNA from 1 species